rnacentral:lncRNA from 1 species
UCACACAUCGACCUUCUUCUAUAUCUAAAAUGAUCUCUAAAAUGACCUUCGACCUUUUUUUUGAAGUUUCUAAGAUAAGGACUGGUGGACCUAGGAAGAUUUAAAAAAACCAUGGUAGCCUACCUCAUCAGAGCUACUAUUUUAUGAUAAAAAGUUUAAAAUUCGUAUUCAACAUUUUUAAGCCACUAAAUUGCUAAUUUUUACCUAUUUAU